UGGACUGUAGCUCAGUUUGGGAGAGCAACCUGGUUUAACUUUUUUUGGUAUCCAGCUAGUCAGUCACAGGUUCGAAUCCUGUCAGUCCAA
rnacentral:tRNA from 1 species